rnacentral:rRNA from 1 species
GACGAACGCUGGCGGCGUGCCUAAUACAUGCAAGUAGAACGCACAGUUUAUACCGUAGCUUGCUACACCAUAAACUGUGAGUUGCGAACGGGUGAGUAACGCGUAGGUAACCUGCCUGGUAGCGGGGGAUAACUAUUGGAAACGAUAGCUAAUACCGCAUAAUAUUAAUUAUUGCAUGAUAAUUGAUUGAAAGAUGCAAUUGCAUCACUACCAGAUGGACCUGCGUUGUAUUAGCUAGUAGGUGAGGUAACGGCUCACCUAGGCGACGAUACAUAGCCGACCUGAGAGGGUGAUCGGCCACACUGGGACUGAGACACGGCCCAGACUCCUACGGGAGGCAGCAGUAGGGAAUCUUCGGCAAUGGACGAAAGUCUGACCGAGCAACGCCGCGUGAGUGAAGAAGGGUUUCGGAUCGUAAAGCUCUGUUGUAAGAGAAGAACGGGUGUGAGAGUGGAAAGUUCACACUGUGACGGUAGCUUACCAGAAAGGGACGGCUAACUACGUG